CCAAGGCUGUACCACCCUGAAUGCGCCAGGUCUGAUCUCGGAAGCUAAGCAGGAUCGGGCCUGGUUGGUGCUCAGAAACACUGGUGGCAUAGUGGU
rnacentral:rRNA from 1 species